rnacentral:lncRNA from 1 species
CACACGAAACUAUGAAAUGAAAACAUCAGAUCUCAUACUGCAUUUAAAACUGUAAAAUAGGUUAAACAACAGCUGACCGACAAACACACCAGACUCGGGCUCCAUUAGCAAUCUUAAACAAUUUCACACAUCUAUUGAUUUAUGAAAUACUGUUUUAUCAUUUAUUGAACUUUAAUACCGUGAUAGGAAAUAGGGUGAGGG